UCCUCGGUAGUAUAGUGGUUAGAAUCCGCGUCUGUCACAUGCGAGUCCCGGGUUCAAUUCCCGGCCGGGGAG
rfam:Angiostrongylus costaricensis strain Costa Rica genome assembly, scaffold: ACOC_contig0003588